GAUGAACGCUGGCGGCGUGCCUAAUACAUGCAAGUCGAGCGAACGGACGAGAAGCUUGCUUUUCUGAUGUUAGCGGCCGACGGGUGAGUAACACGUGGAUAACCUACCUAUAAGACUGGGAUAACUUCGGGAAACCGGAGCUAAUACCGGAUAAUAUUUUGAACCGCAUGGUUCAAAAGUGAAAGACGGUCUUGCUGUCACUUAUAGAUGGAUCCGCGCUGCAUUAGCUAGUUGGUAAGGUAACGGCUUACCAAGGCAACGAUGCAUAGCCGACCUGAGAGGGUGAUCGGCCACACUGGAACUGAGACACGGUCCAGACUCCUACGGGAGGCAGCAGUAGGGAAUCUUCCGCAAUGGGCGAAAGCCUGACGGAGCAACGCCGCGUGAGUGAUGAAGGUCUUCGGAUCGUAAAACUCUGUUAUUAGGGAAGAACAUAUGUGUAAGUAACUGUGCACAUCUUGACGGUACCUAAUCAGAAAGCCACGGCUAACUACGUG
rnacentral:rRNA from 1 species